GUGCAAACUGUUCGUUUAACGCUCGCGUAAUGCUCCAAAGCUUGAAGACGUGAUUGUGUGUGCGUGUGUGCAUGUGUGCUGCUGCUACUACUACUGCGCGCGCGAAUGUGUCGCUCCGCUGCAAAGUGCCGACGAAAAUCCAUCCCGUGACAGAAAUGGGACUUGAUCAGCGCGAACUCGCGAGCUCCCAAGCAGCAAUGGCCCUCGUUUGAACGCCCGUCCGACUCGAGCUUCAUUCGCAGCAGCGUCAUCGUCAAGAAUUCUAAUCCCGAAAGAUGCGGGAGCUAGCGGAUUGUUGGAUCCCCGGCUGCUGGUCGUCGUUGGGGAUCUGAGGAAAAUUCUCUUUUCGCUCUUCCGUUUUUUGUCUCUUUUCUAUUUCUUUCUUUUUCGAAAAGAGAAGGAAAUCUUAUUUUCAAUUCAGUCGGGGGAAAAAAAACGGCGAAGAGGAGACAAAGGAAGAAGCAAUGUCGUUCCUGUCGAAUCUGAAGAAGGCGUUCCACUUCGGUGGCAACGACGCCAAGAAGAAGAAGCUCUACAACAACAUCAAGAUGGACGUUAGCCCCGAGGAGUUCUGGGAUAUGGUGGGCGAACUCGGCGACGGCGCCUUCGGCAAAGUCUACAAGGCACAGCACAAGGCGACGCAACAGCUGGCUGCUGCGAAAAUGUGCGCCCUCGAGGGCGAAGACGACCUCAGUGACUUUAUGAUCGAAAUUGACAUCCUCGCCGAGUGCAAACACCCCAACGUCGUCGAACUACACGAGGCUUACUUUAUCGAGGGCAAACUCUGGAUGUUGAUCGAGUACUGCGACGGUGGCGCGGUAGACUCGAUAAUGGUGGAAUUGGAGAAAGCAUUGACCGAGACGCAAAUCGCCUUCAUCUGCCAGCAGAUGUGCAAAGGUCUUGCAUUUUUGCACAAGGCUAAGGUCAUACACAGGGACCUCAAGGCGGGCAAUGUGCUGCUCACUAUGGCCGGUGGAGUGAAAAUCGCGGACUUUGGAGUGUCAGCGAAAAACAAAUACACACUGCAAAAGCGUGACACGUUCAUCGGUACGCCAUACUGGAUGGCACCGGAAGUCGUUUUAUGCGAGACGUUUAGGGACAAGCCUUACGAUUUUAAGGUGGACAUCUGGUCGUUGGGUAUCACGCUGAUAGAAUUCGCCCAGAUGGAACCACCAAAUCACGAGAUGUCACCAAUGCGAGUACUCCUAAAAAUACAAAAGAGCGAUCCACCAAAACUUGAGCACCCGAGUCGUUGGAGCAAAGACUUUAAUGAUUUCAUCGCCAAAGCUUUGAUUAAGGAUCCUACACAGAGGCCGAACGCCGAGGAGUUACUCAGACAUCCGUUCAUCAACUGUACUCUUGAUUCUAAGUCAGUUAGGGAUCUGUUGCUAGAGUACAAGGCCGACGUUGUUGAAGAAGAACUCGUUGACGACGAUGCCGAGAAGGCGAAAAAGGCGAAAAAGCACCGAGAACAGUAUCAACGGAUCGAGAUAAGGCCGAUUUCUGAAACGAAUGUGCAAUCCGGUUUUGAUGUCAACUACUAUCAUCGCCAGGAGCAUCGCACCUCACAGCUUCCCCUGGAAUUGGAUCAAAUCGGAGAUGACUCUACAUCUGUACGUAGCGACAAUGAGCUUAAAGUUGCGGAGAAAGAAAACAGCGUCACGCCAGCGGCGGCCACAGCAACAGUACCGGCAACAGCAGCUAAGAGAGAGGAAAGUAACAAGAGAGAAAUCAACAGGGAUGGUGAAAAGGAGGAGCGCAACAAAAAACUCCGGAAGGCCGAGUCAAAGGAAAAUAUUCCCGUGUCCACGGAGAAGAAGCCGGCUCCAAAACCACCAGUUUCGAACGUGGAAACUAACGAGCGACGUCUAUCGAAGGGACCGGCUCCACCACCUCCGUCGCUCGCUCGACUGGAAUGUAAACCCGAAGAGGUUGUAAAACCAAGUGCCAUGGAAGCAGCGAUAAAGCCAGUAAAUGGUGAGAGUAAGCAACGCCGAAGCUCGGAAGGGGCCAGAAAACCACCACUCAUCCCUGAGAAACCAGAUCAAUCGAGAUCGAAGAGCGUCGAAGGUAAAAACAGAAAUGUCGAAGAGAAAAGAAAGUCGGCACCAAUAAAACCUGUAGAAAAUAUCGAUGAAUGGAAGAAACCAGUGUAUAGCAUGCAGAGUUCACUCGAAGAGAAAGAGCGCGAAAGAAAAUUAUCGACAGACUCAACUCCACAACAGCAAGUUGAAAUGUGUAAACCCUUGGAAAGUGGCAAUGACAGUCGACGUAGUUUGGAACAAAAGCGUAAGUCCGUCGAGGAGAAACUCAACGCCGUGUUGGAGAAACAAUUGUCCCGCGACGUUGAGAAACAACAACAAGAAAUUUUACGAAAACAAACGUCACGCGAUCCGCUAUCACUGAAAGCUAGCAGUCCAUUAAAGGCUAGCAUGUCGACCGGUGAUAUCAAAGCUGCCAGUAAACGUACAAGUAACGAGGAAGCUAGAAGUGAAGGUGGAAGUAGCUCAAGGAACGAUUCGUUAGAAAAUUUCGAUGUUCUUACUCCUGCGAAGAUUGAGGAUACUGUCGAUAAGGCGAGAGAAAAUGUUAUUGUCGGUGGCUCUAGUGUCAACGUGUCGGUCAUCACGUCUACGCCGGUCAAAAGUAACGUGACAAGAAGUGGCAGUGGUGAUAUUGUUGUUAUUACUGGUACGCCACAACCGACUGAUUCUGAACACCGUGCGAAUACCUCAACGACAGUCCGUAUAAUGUCAGAUAGUCCAGACCCAUCAAAUAGUUUAGCUAGUAACGUAAGUCAAGUCACAGUUGUAACUACUCAUCCACCCGUGUUGAUUGAUGCAACGUCGACUCCACCACCACCUAGACGAGAUUCUUCCGAAGUCGUUAUUGUCGCUAAUGAGACCAACAAAACGCAGGUCAAUGAAAGUUCUGCUGAAGAUGACGGCUUCACUAGUCUCGAUAGUCUCGAGUACACGCCACAAGAGGCAGCGAUUGUUAUCGAGCAGAAAAAGAUUGGUAAACGAUUGGACGAGUCAGAAGUGGUGAUUGUCAGUCCAAUCGAGAAUGAUCAACAGCAACUGCCACUUCAUGACACUAGUCACGUGUCCGUCGUCACCGUCGGCGAUGAACGCGAGCAGGUGAAGGACUCGUCGGCGUUGGCUGCUAGUGCUAAUGACGAUAGAGCCAGGAAGUUGGUCAAUGGACAGGUGCGACAAUCGCUUGACCAACCCAUCUCUACGAAGUCAUCUGCAAAAUCAAAGAGUUCAACCGGGAGCGGUAAGUCCUCAAAGCGAGUAUCACCGGACAGUUCGUCAACGGGAUCGACGCGUUCACGUACACCAAGCAAAAGUAUCGACCGUUCAGAUGCUGAAUCAAUCUCGACGACCAUCAGUCAAGACAGCCGAGGCUCGAACAAAGAAAGCAACCACGUUACAAAUGGACCUAGCGAGAACGUUAACAAUAGUGUUAACGAAAGCCAUAGAACAGAAUCCAGACAGUCUUCUGAAAUGGACGAAGAAGUUGUAUUGAGAAGGAAGCCGGAGUACGUUAGAGAAAUUCCAAGGAGGACAAAAGAAGAUAUCGAGAGGAUACAGCUAAUGAAUUUGAAGAAGAAAACUAGGAAACGUACGAGAAAGUUUGAAAUCGAUGGCGUGGUUGUUACGACAACAACCUCUAAGGUUAUCUAUGGUGAUGAUGAGAACGGCAAAUUCUACGAUGACCAAAUCUUCCGUAAACAGGAGCUUCGCGAACUUAAGAUGUUGCAAAAGAUGGAACAGAAACAAUUCCAAGAUUUGUCACAAAAAGCGCAUUUCAACAAAGACCAGCUCGAGAAACGAUGCGAACAAGAACGUCAAAUUCUUGAACGUACCGCAGAAGCAGAACUAGAGACUCUUUUGAGGCAACAACGUCAAGCUCUUGACAAAGCCGAGGCACAGCAGGAGACAGAUCUCAGGCUUGCAUCAAAAAAGAUUAGGGCUGAACAAGAGAGAGAAUUGAAACAAUUCAGAGAAGGAAUCAAGCAGGAUUUGAGAUUACUUAAACAAGAGGUUGAUCUUAUGCCUAAGGAAAAACGCAAGAACGCAUUCAAAGUUAGAAAAGAAAAGCUAGAAGCCGAGCACGAGGAGCGCGAAAAACUUUUCUUGGAAAAGUUGAACGAAACGCACGAUGCAUCGAUGCGUCGAUUAUCCGACAGCCAUCGUGAGAAGAUCGCUUUAAUGGAACGUCAAUUCCUGCAGCAAAAGCAGCAGCUUCUACGUGCACGUGAAUUAGCGAUUUGGGAAUUGGAGGAACGCCAGAUACACGAACGUCAACAGCUUCUCAAACGUCAAUUGAAAGAUAUAUUCUUCCUGCAACGCCAUCAAAUGCUUAUCAGGCAUGAAAAAGAACUCGAACAGAUGAAACGAAUGAAUCAACGUAAAGAAGAGGAAUUAGUUAAGAGACAAACUGUUGAGAAGAGAAAUUUGCCCAAGAGGAUUCGGAAUGAAAUGAAAGCUCGCGAAAUGAUGUUUAGAGAGUCGAUGAGGAUUUCGAUAUCAUCAACGUUAGUCUCAGAUCCAGAUGCCGAACGUGAUAAGUUAAAGAAAUUCCAAGAAAAUGAAAAGAAACGUUACCGCGCCGAACAACAACGUUUCGAGCUGAAGCACGCGAGGCAAUUGGAGGAGAUGCGCGCAUCGAGCGAGUCGACGAUCAAAGAGCUUGAACAGCUGCAAAACGAGAAACGUAAGAUGCUUAUGGAACACGAGUCAAUUAAGCUCAAGGAACAAGAGGAGGCCUAUGCGAAGGAGUUGCGCGAGUGGAAAGCACUGCUUAAACCACGCAAACAGAACUUAGAAGCCGAGCUGGCAUCAGAGAUGGAGGCCCUGGAGUCUAGGUACCGGGGCUACCUACCGUCACGACUAAGCGGCUUCUACUUGACCAACUUCGACUACUCGACCUUCACUACUUUCAAAAGCCCAUCCACGUCCCCCGAAAAACGCCGUUCAUCCCUUGCCAAUUCCACUCCCAGUUCGCCCUUUAGUAUACCAAGAGUAUCUCUGCGUUUUGGUGGCUCAGAUACGAGUUCACUUGGCACUGCUGGCACUUUGCCCAGGAGGUACUCGUCCGGUACUAAACCUGAUCUCCUACCAUCACCAUCUCCUCGUCGAUGAUCCUCUGUGUCUUUUUUUCUGGCUUUCGUGCGUUUUUGGUCGAAGCUGUAUUCGUGUAUGUCUCACAGGUUUCUUGAGAUUUAGAAUAUUGUUCUGAAUAGCUAGUUAAAAACAAUAACAAUUUUUGUUCUCGUAUUCGACUUUUCAAAAUUGUAUAUAUAACGAUGCGAAUGAUAAUUGAUAAAUUAUAUCAUUUCGCGUAAAUAGUUGAAUGGCAAAAUUUAGCUUUGAGUAAAUGUACAUUCUGGUGCAUGCGAAAAAAAGUAAUAUGCAAAUACAAAAUACACAGGUACAGCUUCCAACGACCAUAUCUCGUCUCCGCUUCAUCCUCUCGUGUGUUGUCUUCAAACCUCAAAAAUCCUCCCGUAGCAAUGAAAUUAAUCCGACUAAAUAUUGAAUGUUCGAGUUUAAAAUCUCGAACUCGAAUGACUCGAUUACUUUAUCGUGAUCUUUGUUUUCCUUUCAAUUAAUGAAUUAUUCCAUUGUGUUUAUUUAAAUACUGCUUUUUGAAAAUCUUAAGCCGUGCGGUUUAACACUUCAGAUAUGUUUUGAUGAUUAAUAUUUGAGUUUAUUUUAUUUCACACAGCAUUUAGUUUCAAAACACUAAUAAUUUUUUGUGUUUGAAUCGAGUUUCUCGUAAUUUAACAUUGAUUUAUGUCUCGUAAUGUUAACGAGGAAUCCGCCAAAACUGAAUCAAAGAUGUUCAACAGAAUUUUGUAAAGGUUUUGACCGAGCUUACAUUUUUUUUCUUGUACAAAAUUUAUUUACGUUCAUUACUAAUAAAACAAAAAAUUAAAUUUAUUGUAUUAAUUUAAAAUGUAAUAAUAUAUUAGUUUCAGCACAAAAAUAUCAAAAUAUUAGAUACACAAAAACGUAGUAUAGCAUAGAUGAUAAUCUACAAUUACGCUGAAUUUUUUUCUUUCUGUAACGUAAUAUACAGAUUGAAAAAUGUUGUAUUUCAACGCGUCGUUUGCUCCGAAGAAACGUAAGCUUUUUACGUAUGCUGACGUGAUGUUAGUUUUGCUUUUUUCAUUUUCUCACUCUGUUCAUAUUUCAUCUGUACUCUUUUCGUUAGCUAAAAACCAACCAAGCCGCUUGCACGUAUUAGUCGAGCGUCACCAGUCUAUUUGCUUGUCGGCGUUGUUCUCUACAAUACUUUGUUGACUGAAGUCAUUCUGCUCAUCUACUUCUCUUUCAUCGUCAUUAUUGUCGUCAUCAUCAUCCCCGUCUUUCGAGUUUCCUUGGCAGUCACUGAUUUGGUUCUUCAUAUUAUUAUCAUCACUUCCAGCUCCUGUUUAAGCCAUUCUUAUCAAAGAACCGUGUCACAGAAACAGCACUACUCUGUAAGUCACUUCAAGGUCUCUAAUGUUUUUCUCCGCUAGAAGCGCUAGGAUUGGUCUGGAUAGGUGUAAAGGAUGUGUUCCUAUAUGGCCUAUUUUUUCCACCUUUGUGGAAUUAAAACCAUUUAAGUGCACUGUAGUUUUUGCCACAAUUAUUACAUUGUCAAAAACUUACAUUUCUAGCCAAUACGAAGACGCUUUGCUGGAAUUUCUUUUUAUAUUUAAAGUAUCCUGCAAGAUAUUUUUUUUGUUUGAAUUUAUUUUAAUAGUAAGUUGACUAUACACGCCAGCUUUAUACGCAUCCAGGAUGUUCGGUUUAAGUUUCCACUACUAAAACCACUGUUAAGUCUCAAUAACGUAGCCGAGACUUGUGUUUAUUGAAAAUAAAAUAAUGUUUUAUUUAUUUUUAUUAUUACCGAUCACUCGAUAAUCUAUCUGUGUUUAUUUCUGUUAGGGCAGGUCUUGGCAGUUUCCUUUGUACUUCUUUACUCGGCUGUUAUUUUGUAGUGCUCUGCUCUGCUUACUGAGCUUUUUUGGUUGGCUUUGCUUGGAUCUAUCCUCCUCGAUGAGGUUGAUGACUUUGACAAUAAUCAUAUAUGAACGCUCGGUUUUUGAUAGUCAAUAGAAUGGUCUAUUUGUUUAAUAAUAAUAAGUAGGAAUUGAGAAAUAAAUUCCAUGUAAAUGUAAAUUUAGUAAUGAUCUAAUCGAGUAAUAUUGAUUAAAUAUUGAAUGUGAUUUCUUCGAUUUCUUCGUCGUGGUCUUUGUUUUCCUUUCAAUUAAUUAAUGAUUCGAUUGUAUCUAUUUAAGUUAUACUUUUUGAGAUUCUUAAGCUGCGCGGUUUAAUACUUGAGAUGUAUUUUCAUGAUUAAUAGUUCAGUCUGCUUUCAUUCGCACAGCAUUUAAUUUCAAGACACUAAUUAUAUUUCAUGUUUGAAUCGCAUUUCUCGUGAUUUAACAUUGAUUCAUGCCUCGUAAUGAUAACGAGAAAUCUGCCAAAACUUAUUUAAAAUGUUCAAUAGAAUUUUGUAAAGAUUUUGUCCGAGCUCGCAUUUUUUCUUGUACAAAAUUUCUUUACGUUCAUUGCUUGUAAAACGAAAAAUUAAAUUUGUAUUAAUUAGUAAUAAUGUAAUAAUAAUUCGCUUCGGUAAAAAAAAUAUAAAUAUUGUAUACACAUCAAAAAGAAGUGUAGCAUAGAUAAUAAGCCACAAAUACGCCGAACGUUUUCCUUUCUGCAACAAGAUAUAGAGGUUAAAAAAUGUAUUUCGACGUGCUGUUUGCUGUGAAAAAAAACGUAAGCUUUUUGCCUAUGCUGACGUGUGUUAUUUUUGCUUGCUCCUUUCUUGCUAUGUUCGUAUUUCAUUUGUAGUGUUUACGUUAGCUAGAAAAUCGACCAAUCCACUUGCACGAGUUAGUCGAUUGUCGGCAAAUAUAAUAGGCAUGCAAUAUUUUUGCUACUUACUUCAUAGAGUAAUAUAUUUUUUGAAGUGUCUGUCAUUGGAGCUACAAUAUCCCUUACCUACAAAAUGAUUAUCCCUUGAAAAAUGUUAUUGUCCUGUGUGGUAAAUCUCUUUUUAUGUAAUUUGUCUUUGUAGCCAUUUACUUAUUUUUAUGUAAGUCAUAAAAAUCAUGUAUGUACAUGUACGUCAAGGUAACGCAUGGUCAUAAUACAAUAAUAUCUACGUUUUGCAAAUGCAAGUGUUCAUUUUGGGUAAGACGAAUCGGGCUAAUGGUGAUCAUAUAUAAUCAUUACGUUUCAUUAUCCCAUUAUGUUUAUUAUGUUUUUGGGUGCUUGAACUUUUUUGUGUUCUUAAAACAAUGAUAACGUCCAAAAAAACAUAUCGAUCCUUAUUUCGCGCAAAGUACCCCUAUGAACGGAAAUUUGGAUUUGGAUUUGAGAGAUGAAGAUCUCUCGUCGGAAAAUUUAUCACGAAGAAGCUAGAAGAACAAUUUGCCAUGCAGCUCGAGGAGCAAGAAUCGGUGUACAGCCCGAGCGCCGUGCCUCUGUGCCUACCACCGGAUCUGCCCGACUUGACUCACCACACAGCAGGCGGCGGCUCAACUCGUAGCUCG